GAGUCCCUGCGGUGUUCGAACACACGUGCUCUUUUCCUAUGUAAACCGAAUAGGGGGUUGCCCUUUGCGGGAUGAUGUCAAGCCGUGAACCGGAAGGCAGAAGCCUGUGAAGAUACCCCCACCUUGUGAGGACCGGGUUAAGAGCCCACCUUAUCGGCACAUGUGGGGACUCU
rnacentral:other from 1 species